AAUACUAAGUAGUACCAUACUACCCAUAUCUCUCUUCGGUUCCUGUUGAAUUUCAAAUAUUAGCUUUUACAAAAGGGUGGAACCAUAACAAGGAACAGUAAGAAGGACGAUGAAAUUCUGGCAGGCGGCAAUUUUCGAGGGUUUAAUGGAUAGAAACUCACGGUAAAACACAAAGAGGUGUAAGGGUUUGAAGGAGGAAGUUAGUUAUUUGUACAAAAUGGAAGGCAACAGUGUUCAACCUUUCGGCUUGGCCUCCAAGGAUCUGAUUGCUUGGCGAAGAUUUUUGUCUGAAUUCUCUGCUAUUCGUUGUGCAAAAGGUCUAGAGAGAACUUAUAGAUUGAAGAUUGUUGACAGUAGAGCAACAGAAAAUAAGCUUGCAUGAAUCUUGGUAACGUUCCAUUAGCCAGUGGAUAUACUGUUGAACAUCACUGGGGACCAGCUAGAGCCACAAUAGCAACAAAAUCCUUCUGCAAACCACUGCAAAGAGGUUGCAGAGCUCCUAGCUGAAGAGACACCCUUAGAGGAAAUAGUUGAAUGUAAGGGACAUGUCCCACCACACAGAUAUAUGUAUAAGAUACAAUACAAUGUAACAAAAGUAUUGAUAGAGGAGUAAAAAGAUGUAAGGAAGAUAAGAAUAUUAGUUACUGAUAAUUAUAAGGGGGGUAAUCCCACAGUAUAUGUACAUGAUGGAUAAGCAUC